rnacentral:rRNA from 1 species
AUUAUACAGCGAAACUGCGAAUGGCUCAUUAAAUCAGUUAUCGUUUAUUUGAUAGUACCUUACUACUUGGAUAACCGUGGUAAUUCUAGAGCUAAUACAUGCUGAAAACCCCGACUCACGGAGGGGUGUAUUUAUUAGAUUAAAAACCAAUGCCCUUCGGGGCUCUCUGGUGAUUCAUAAUAACUUCUCGAAUCGCAUGGCCUUGCGCCGGCGAUGGUUCAUUCAAAUUUCUGCCCUAUCAACUUUCGAUGGCAGGGUCUUGGCCUGCCAUGGUUACAACGGGUAACGGAGGGUUAGGGCUCGACCCCGGAGAAGGAGCCUGAGAAACGGCUACUACAUCCAAGGAAGGCAGCAGGCGCGCAAAUUACCCAAUCCCGAUACGGGGAGGUAGUGACAAUAAAUACUGAUACAGGGCUCUUUUGGGUCUUGUAAUUGGAAUGAGUACAAUCUAAAUCCCUUAACGAGGAACAAUUGGAGGGCAAGUCUUGUGCCAGCAGCCGCGGUAAUUCCAGCUCCAAUAGCGUAUAUUAAGUUUGUUGCAGUUAAAAAGCUCGUAGUUGAACCUUGGGCCUGGCUGGCCGGUCCGCCUCACCGCGUGCACUGGUUCGGCCGGGCCUUUCCCUCUGGGGAGCCGCAUGCUCUUUACUGAGUGUGUCGGGGAACCAGGACUUUUACUGUGAAAAAAUUAGAGUGUUCAAAGCAGGCCUAUGCUCGAAUACAUUAGCAUGGAAUAAUGAAAUAGGACGUGCGGUUCUAUUUUGUUGGUUUCUAGGACCGCCGUAAUGAUUAAUAGGGACAGUCGGGGGCAUCAGUAUUCAAUUGUCAGAGGUGAAAUUCUUGGAUUUAUUGAAGACUAACUACUGCGAAAGCAUUUGCCAAGGAUGUUUUCAUUAAUCAGGAACGAAAGUUAGGGGAUCGAAGACGAUCAGAUACCGUCGUAGUCUUAACCAUAAACUAUGCCGACUAGGGAUCGGACGAUGUUAUUAUUUGACUCGUUCGGCACCUUACGAGAAAUCAAAGUCUUUGGG